UAGGGAAUCUUCGGCAAUGGACGAAAGUCUGACCGAGCAACGCCGCGUGAGUGAAGAAGGUUUUCGGAUCGUAAAACUCUGUUGUUAGAGAAGAACAAGGACGUUAGUAACUGAACGUCCCCUGACGGUAUCUAACCAGAAAGCCACGGCUAACUACGUGCCAGCAGCCGCGGUAAUACGUAGGUGGCAAGCGUUGUCCGGAUUUAUUGGGCGUAAAGCGAGCGCAGGCGGUUUCUUAAGUCUGAUGUGAAAGCCCCCGGCUCAACCGGGGAGGGUCAUUGGAAACUGGGAGACUUGAGUGCAGAAGAGGAGAGUGCAAUUCCAUGUGUAGCGGUGAAAUGCGUAGAUAUAUGGAGGAACACCAGUGGCGAAGGCGGCUCUCUGGUCUGUAACUGACGCUGAGGCUCGAAGGCGUGGGGAGCAAACAGG
rnacentral:rRNA from 1 species